rnacentral:lncRNA from 1 species
AUAAAGUAAAUGACAAAACAUAUCAAAAAUCUUUUAGAAAAAAGAAACCCAUAAAAUAUAUGGCUGUGAUGCAGAGAAAAGAAAUAAGAAAAAAAUAAUAAUAAACACGCAGAAAAAAAAAGGACACAAGAAAACUGCACAAACAUAAUGAAAUCCAAACUCAACUAGCCAAUUCUUACUUAAACCCUUUCUUCAACCCUAGAUUCGUUACUUAAAUACCCAAUUCUUCAACCCCUUUUAUUGACAAUCAAACAAAAAGAAACCCUAUAUUUUGAUAGAGAGAAAUCCAGCAGAAAAAUUCCUAACAAACCCUAUAAAGAAAAUAUGCAUUCAAUCAAACAUUUUACCAAGAUUGAUCAAGAGAAAAACGCAGCAAAUCAAAGCUUGUACCUGUCGAAGAACAAAAUAAUUUCUAUUUCCACUGAUUUAGAAAGAAAUUGAAAAGGGUUAAUGAUCUGAUUAUGAAAGAAGAG